rnacentral:lncRNA from 1 species
GCAGGAAGAGGUGGUGAUCUGAACUGCAGGGAGCGGACGCUUGACUACUGUGAGGACUCCUGACCCUGCCAUGUUGUCACCGGGAAAAUGAAGAAUGAGCUAAGCCAGAGCAGCGGGACUGGAGGAAACAGCCUUACAUAGAGGAAGAGAAAAAUCAGGCCAGGAUACUGGGAGUGAAGGUGGGGAAGCGGAGGGAAGAGGGGACCCUAGCGUCUUUGCAGCUCAGCUCAGUGGCACUAAGCAAGAUGCCUGCCAUGAGCCAGAUGCAGGACAGGAGCUGGGUAGGUGGGAGGCAUAGUCCAUGGAAAGUCAUCUCACUGCAAAGCCAAAGAAGUGGUUCUGAGGCCCACUCAGAAGAGGUCUCCAUUUUCCCAGGAACUAAAGUCUAGAAGGAGAGAGCUCAGGGCAGCCUGGAGGCCGCAAGUGCAUGGAGCAGGUGCCACAGCCUCAAGGACUGGGCAUAAGGCCUGGAAGUCAAGGACACAGAGAGGGCCCCAAAAGGCACCUUUUCUGAAUUAAAGCUGCACUGAGCUAAGGAGUAGCAUAGGGCAGUGGCCUCCUCAAUGGUUUGUCCCCCAUCCCCUGGCCAUGGGGACAGCUCAGGGACAGCCUGAUCACAUACUGGACCAAAGCUACUGGAGGUGGCAGAGGCAUUUGCCUGGAGUGAGGAGCAGGUGGAGGAAGGGAGAGCUCUGACCCAACAUAUAGAUGCUGGCAGCAAGGAAGGCCUGACGUUUGCCUCUCAUGGGUGGCGGCCAACAUCUGUCUUUCUGUUUCCCCAAAGCAAGAGGCUUCCACCACAUGCUUUUACUAAGGAUGGCUCUGUUUACAAGUGGUAGAGCCGAGUCCCAGUGAUGUCUGUGGUCAAACGAUGCAUCUGUCUGUGCAUGUGAAUAUUCCAGUAUAUGCUCGGUCAAACGAUGCAUCCGUCCCUGUAUGUGGAUAUUCUAGUGUAUGCUGUAACCAAGAAAGUCUGUUUCCUGUCCAGCUCUCCAGAUCUCAACGGAACAUCCCCUUUCUCUGACUCUCAGCUCCCGGGCAUAGAUGCAUCUUGUGCUGGCUGAGCCAUGUAACUCCAAGUACGAUUUAUUUUAAGAGAAAAUUGCCCACCUUUUAGAGUAAAUAAACUUAAGAGCAGAACCCAGCAACUUCAUUUCCACUUCCUAGUGUAGCAACUGAAGAGUGAGCUUCUUUCAGCUUCAAUUGCUCUUCUCAGAAAGUUUUUAUUUGGCUUAAUAGAAGAAAGCACAGUUUCUAGACCAAAGAGGAAGAAAAUAAGACAAGGCAAGGCAACAAUCUGGCCACCUUUCUGGAGAGACUGCAUGGAAAGGCCAGAUGACGAGGAAUAAUUUGAUCCUACUUGGACAGAAAAGCCCAGCCUGACAACUGACCACAGCUUUCAAGAUAUCUACCACCUGUAAGCGGUACACAUCUUAGAUAUUCCAGCCUUGUUGAGAUGCCCAGUGACCAAAGUACUAACUGACAUUACACUGAACAGAAGUAUUACCCACUGGAGCAGUCAACCACACAAUCAUGAAAGAUAAUAAAAUGACUGUUUUGUUAAGCCACUAAGUUCUGAAGUGGUUUGUCAGGUAGUCACAGAGUUACCUUGUCAGAAGCCAAAAAUUCUGUG